rnacentral:rRNA from 1 species
AGCAGUCGCCGCGGGAAUACGUAGGUGGCAAGCGUUGUCCGGAAUUAUUGGGCGUAAAGGGCUCGCAGGCGGUUUCUUAAGUCUGAUGUGAAAGCCCCCGGCUCAACCGGGGAGGGUCAUUGGAAACUGGGAAACUUGAGUGCAGAAGAGGAGAGUGGAAUUCCACGUGUAGCGGUGAAAUGCGUAGAGAUGUGGAGGAACACCAGUGGCGAAGGCGACUCUCUGGUCUGUAACUGACGCUGAGGAGCGAAAGCGUGGGGAGCGAACAGGAUUAGAUACCCCCGUAGUCCCUGUCUCUUAUAA